CCCUUCGGCAAAGCCUCUCCGAUGGUUCUCUGUGUUCCUGUAGGAGUUCUUUGAAGAUAGAACUUCGGUGGAUGUCCCAAGAAGUUCGUGGUUAUGUCGAAGCAGUUCUCAACAGCCUUGGUGCUAACGUUCCAAAAGCCGUGGUACUUUGCCAAGUAGAGAAAGCCAAAGAGGACAUGCUCAAUCAAUUAUACGGUUCGAUCAGUGCUCAAAGCACAACAAGAAUUGAAGAACUGCUUCUAGAGGAUUAGAAUGUAAAACGUAA